rnacentral:misc_RNA from 1 species
GAUGAAGAACGUAGCGAAAUGCGAUAAGUAAUGUGAAUUGCAGAAUUCAGUGAAUCAUCGAAUCUUUGAACGCACAUUGCGCCCGCCAGUAUUCUGGCGGGCAUGCCUGUUCGAGCGUCAUUUCAACCCUCAAGUCCCCUGUGGACUUGGUGUUGGGGAUCGGCGAGGCUGGUUUUCCAGCACAGCCGUCCCUUAAAUUAAUUGGCGGUCUCGCCGUGGCCCUCCUCUGCGCAGUAGUAAAACACUCGCAACAGGAGCCCGGCGCGGUCCACUGCCGUAAAACCCCCCAACUUUUUAUAGUUGACCUCGAAUCAGGUAGGACUACCCGCUGAACUUAAGCAUAUCAAUAAGCGGAGGA